UUAUAUUUUUUAUAAAAUUGUAUGUUCGGUUAAUGGACGUAUGUGUAUUUAUUUUUAAAACAUUCUCACGUGGUUACAGGAUCACGUUUCGACGUAACAAUGUCAUUUGUCAGCCAAAUGUUAUCGACACCUCACGACUACCAACUAUGUAGUUAUUUUUUAGCAGUCUGCAAAACAUUGAACUUUUAACAUUUGACCUUUCUUUGUUAUAAAAUGCAAACUUGAAUAAUUUUCUAAUAAGAUUUUAAAACCAAAUUUAAUGCUUAUAUUUUUGCAAUUCUGCACUUGCACUUUUGAUGAUACGAUUAUGACAAUGUACAUUUGAAUUGAUCAUUUAAGAAACCGACGAAAUACUAUUCAUUUUUUUACCAUUGUAGAAAUAAUGCUUAUUGAAUCUUCAAAAAUGAUUCUAUUGAGAGAAUACGUAUGACAACCUUUUAAAUAAUUGCAUAUUUUGUAUAUUAACUAGAAUAUUAACAAUAAUAAACGUGAGACAAUGACAAUUUGCAGACUUGAUUUUUACACAGUAAAUUAUUCGCUGUUUAGCGUAUUCUCAAAAGUAACGAAAUUAUUAAAUGUCAGUAAUUAUCUUCGUUUCAGUGAUUGCAGUAUUGAAAUACCAAUGACUUGGAUGAAGAAAUGAAAAAAAAAAACGGUUGUUUGAAGAUUACUCUCAUAGCAGCAGAUAUUUCUAGAAAGUUUAACACAUUUAUAUACAUCCACAACUUCAUUCCAUUAUCCAUGACCAAGCAGCUGCAGUGUUCUUUUCAAUGGAACUUGUAGUGUUAUUAAAUAAAAUCCAUAAUUAUGGCCAUAUUGAUAAAACACAUCCACAUCUUGAUAAUAACUUUAUACAUUUAGGGUAUGGUAGAAAAUAAAGUUUAUGGAUUGAGAUAUUUGUUAGAAUGAGAAAUCGGCAUCCUUGAACUUGGACAAAACUCGGGUGUAGCAAAAUUACGGAAAAUUUAAUAAAAUAAUCACUUAAUCUUAUUUCUUUCACUCUUCUAUACAUUUUUAAUGCCGUUUUGCUGAUUUUUUUUUGUAAAUAAACGAAUAAAAAGCCUACAACCUUGUAAUAUUUUGAAAAAAUGUUUGAUGGUUAAAAACAAUAUUAAAUCUUUUGAUCCUCAUAUUUCACAAUCUAACGUUAUCACAAAACAUGGAAAGUUAACGUAUAAAAACCUAUUCUAUAUUUUUGUAUCGAAAACUAUCUAAAACCAAAAUAAACGAACCAAUUAAAACACUUAAAAACGUGAAAUUUUAAUCUUGAUUGAGUACUCGUUAUUAUUGCACUGGGUAGAAACGUCACCUACUAGCUUUUCAUCGUUAUUAUGUAUUUUUACCCUAAUUUUCUACUUUAAUAAAAAAAUGUUCUGAUUUUUACUGAUUUCUCAUUAUUACACACAAAUACGGGUGUCGCACCUUGGUACCAUCUUAUAACCAAACGUCAUUCCAUAUCAGUCCUGUGGAUUCUCGCUUUUUGUUUGUGCACCAUAAUGCAUACUUCGAGAUUGUUUGGCAAUUGAUGGCGGAUUUCAAUCUCAUAGUAUUGGAUAUGAACCACAAAAAAAAUACUACAAAUAAUGCAAACCAUGAAAUGAUCCGCAAACUCUACGUUUAGGACAUACGAACUACUUAAAUUAAUUUCUUGUUCUAAAUAAAACGCAAGAAUUUUAUUUUAUUAUGAUAUAUAGAAUAUUAACACGUCACUCUGUAUUAUAUUUCUUUGAUUAUAUAUUCUACGACCCUUUUGUAUGUUUUUCUUCAUAAAUCUUCUUAGUUUCCGCUUUUUUUUUUUUAUUGAGAAUUAGUUUUUAGUAAAAAUAUUGCCGUUUCGAUAUAUUUCGAUCUUUAUCAAAAUAUCAUAUAUUAUAUAUAUUAUGCUAUAUAUCCAAUGUCAAGUCAUAUUUUGAUAAAGAGCAAAAUAUAUCGAAAUGUCAAUGUUUUUACCUGUUUUUAAAAGCUAAUUUUCAAUAAAAAAAAGACCAAAUACCAAAAAGAUUUGGCAUCAAAAACUCUGUAUAUUUUGAGAGAAUUAGCUAAAGCUGGCAUCACUGCAUUUUUGAAUACCACUAUCUUUGAGUAUUACGUUGUGAGAGCAGUUGUGUCGCUACUUAUAUGAUAAAAAAGCGUCACAAGUAACUGUGUUUCUCUGGUAUAGCGUAUAUAAGAGAGGAGAUAUAUAAAUUUGGUAAUGAACGUGCUAGUAAGCCUUGUUUUUCAGUUACUCCUGGAAAUUUGGAGGCGUAUUAUCAAAGAAAAUUCAAGAUGCAGCUACCAAGCGAUUGAAAAAAUAGCAGGAACGGCCAGAACCGGACUUAGGCAUGGGCCAACCCGGGCGUGCGCCGGGGGCCCCCGCUGCAGGGGGGCCUCGCGACGAGCCAUAUGAUUGAUUUUUAAACAUAUGAAUGCAAGCGAAAAAAUACAUACAUAGCCAAUGUUCAGAAUCAACAUAAAUUUUUUUAUGCGCAAUCAUUUUAAAAGUUCCGAAAAAUCAUAUUUAAAAAAAUGAAAGCUCGAAGUUGCGCCCAAUGCAUGGUAUCGCUGAUUUAUUUUUUAAAAUCACAACGACGAGUUAUAAACUACGCUUCCCCCGGAUGAGCUGUAGAUAUUUUAUUACAUAUUUACGAGUGUACGCGAGCGCUUGUUUUUUAGGCUUUCUUGAAAUCACCUCGUACAUUGCGAAACAUAGGAAAUACUGCAUUCUCGGAACAAGUGAUCGUGUUUUGUUUUGCUGCGCUCUACUCGCAUCAAUAGUAUAAGUAUCAGUCUGAGGAUGUAAGAAUUCACGUAAAACGCCCGCCUUACAUAGGCCCCUUAAGUAUUUUGGCCCGGGGGCCACGAUGACUCUAAGUCCGACUCUGGGAACGGCCACAAAAGUGCCUCCAAUAGUAUUUAAAAAUUUGAUGGUCAUGAAAUGGAUACACCAACCAAUUGUUACUCGAAUAUUCUUGAACUCGUUUCCAAAUUAUUUAAAUUGUGCAGAAAACUGUAGUUACCUCUGGCAGUAUCUUUUUUUAAGUUUAUUGUAUUGCACAUGCAAUCAAAAUAUAUGAGCCUCACAAUUUCAUUUUAAAAUUACUACUCAAAACAUUAACAGAUUCCAGAUUUUUUGUUGCAUGAGAUUUUAUUUUCUCAAAAAUGUCCAAUUUUUCCUUAAAAAUAAUCCUAAUUAACCCUUCUUAAAUCUCAAUAUUUGAUCAUAGUAACAUUACCUCAAAAAUAAAGGAUUGUAACUUUGUUAAUGAUCAUUAUCGUCUGAGAAACUACACUAUUUCUUUCCGGAUUCUCAUUUCGUGAUAUUAGAAAAAAAUUUUAUUGAUUUCAAAGCAUUUGACACAUCCAGAAGAUUUCAGUAUACAUCUGAAUGUGCCUAAAGUAUUUACCGCUAAAAAUUUGAUUUUUUGAAUUUUUCACACAAAUUUCGAGGUUAUGUGAAAAAAGUGUAAACAUCAAAGUUGUAGAUCUUCUUAUUACCUACAACUUUUACAUUUUCAUUUUUAAUGAGAAUAAUUCUCACGCACGCCACUGGAUUUAAGCCACUCCUGACAUCGCAAAUCAAGAUUAACUGUAUCGAUAUAUAGGACAGUCUGCAAUGGAAAACAUCGAAUAAAAUGCAAAUCUAGAAGUAGACUUGCAUUUUGUCCAAGUGGGCGAACACAUAUUACAUAAGCUAAUAGAAAUAUUUAUUACCUAGAACUAUCGUUUGUAAAACAUUUCUUUUAUGUCAAUAAAUAUGUCUAUCGAGAGGAUGUUUAAAUCACCGUGAAAUAGGAAGAACUUUAUACAGUAUAAUAUUUACACAGUUAUUUCAGAAGAUCUACAAAUUAUAAUAGACCAGGGUCAAAAAAAAUAACAGUAGGAUGAAACCCAUUGGAAAAGAAGGAGAAUAUGAUAAAAAUAGAAGGAAAAAUAAUUUACUAGCGAUCUAAGGUCGGGAAGGGAAGAGGGGUGAGUUUUUAAAGGUAAAAAAUAGUUUAUCUCGAUAUCCGGUAAAACUACAAGUCUUAUGGAAAAAGUCGAAGAGCAAAAUUUAUGUGAAAAAUUAAAAAAACUAAGUUUUUCGUUUGUAAUUUUUAUCUUUUACAAAAAACAAUUUUUUUCACGAAAUUUUGACAAAAUAUCCAAAAAGCACCCUAAAUUUCGAACGAAAAUUCUUCCAUCAAAAAGUCUGCGGGAUUUUCGUUCGUUGAAAUCUCUAAUUCCUGUUGGUGUAAGAAAAUAUUACUAUUACUAUAGUAAAUCUCCUCAGAAAAGGCAAAAGAUAAGACAAAAAAACUCGCACCCGCAAUUUUUUUAGACUAUUUGACUUUUUUCCAUAGGACUUGUAGUUUCGCUGGAAAUCGAAAUAAACCGUUUUUUACCCUUAAAAACUAACCCACUUUCUCUUCCCAACCUCCCAACGUCAAAAUAUUUUAUUACUCAACUCUUAAUUGCAUAUAUUUAUUACAUCGAACCUGCAACGUCUCUAGACCUUUCAAAAAAAUGUUACUUCUUGCUGUGCAAACCAGACCUCCACAGCUUUUAUUACCUCCUCGUUGGAAGAAAAUUUACGACCUUUUAAACUUUUUUCAGUUGAGGAAAAAGAUGAUAUUCAAAUCUGGUGAAUAAAGGGGGAGUUCUAGUAAUGUUCUAGUUUUUUGCAUGGCAACAUUAGAUUUGUAUGCAGGGGCGUUGUCCUGCAAAAACAAAACACCUUUGGAUAGCUUUUCUCGUCUUUACUCUUUAACUUUUUCCCAUAGAGUGGUCAGUAAUGUCGAAUAGUAAUCUCCAGUUAUUGUUUUACACUUAUUCAAAAAAUCAAUCAUGAUUACUCCAUGGCAAUCCCAAAAAACUGAAGCAAGAACUUUUCCAGCAGAUUUUUGAACACGAAACUUCUUAGGUCUUGGAGAACCAGAGUUUCGUCAUUCCAUCGAUUGUUGCUUUGUUUCUGGAUCGUAGAAAUGUACCCAAGUCACAUAAAUUGAUUUGAACUAUAUGAUGGACGCGUUCGUAUGAAAUAUUCAGUGCUUCAGAUAUCCGUUUUAGCCCAAUUCGACGGUCUGAUAAAAUCAUGUCAUGACUGACACAGAAACUGGUCUGGGCUAACAAGAUAUCAAUACAUCCUCGUAUUUGUGUGCUACUAUUUAAACUAUUGUCGACUAGCCAUUUGUUUUAGUUCAGUAUUUGAAUGAAUUAUACCGAAGUUGUGCAAAAUCGAAGAAGUUAUUUCACCAAUCGUAAUAUGCACAGAGUAGACAACAUAUUAAAUGCAAAUUCAUUGUUUCAAGUGAAAGUACUUAUAUAUAUUUUCCAUUUUUGGUUAGCUUUUCUCUUUUAACUGUCUUUUAUGCUAACUACAUAGUUUCAAAUUUGAUGAUGCACCCGACAAGUUCAGUGAUCACUUAUUAAGCUAUGAGAAUUGAUGAUGAAUCUACAGAGCACAUUGGUAACUAUAUAAUUCAUCGUUAACAAUAUUAAAUCAAACUAAUUUUUUUUUAAUUUUAUGUAAAAAACAAUAAAAAUAAGGAAGCUGUCGCUUCUUAUCGUUGGUCUCCAAAAGUUUUAAGAAAAAUAAGCGGCGAGUACCUAUUAGCUCAUGAAAAUCAAGAAAUUGUUUAUUUUCGAGGUAAUGUUACUAUGACGAAAUGUUGAGACUUACGAAGGAUGAAUUAGGAUUAUUUAAAAGCAAAAAUUACACAUUCUUGAGAAAAAUUACAUGAAAAAUAAUCAGUAUUUCUUAAGGAUUUCUAAAAAAAUAAAAUAUAUAGGGUGACCUAUUUGAAAUACCAUAAACCAAUAUUUUUUCGGUAAAAGAAAAGAUCUGACAAAAGUAUAGAUACCACCAUAACACCAGAAGUAUCACAGGACCCUUAUAUACAAAAAUUUAUAAAAAUCGUACAAGCCGUUUCCGAGAUAAUUGAGGUGUUUCACACAUAAAACCCACUCUGUAUAAGAUAUAUAUUUAAAUUAUAAUUUUUUUGCAUUUGUAUACAAAUUGAAUAAAACAACUUCCUUAGAA